AUGAAAAAGGAGAAGAAUCGCCACCUGUUCUCGAGGACUGCUCACCAGCCAUCUCCAGCAGGCCCUGAGGUCCCACAAAUGGUUAAAGCAAGGAAGAAAAACCUCUCAGAGCCUGUUAAAAUCCUGAGUGAUUUGUGGCUGGGGUCUGUUCAUUCUGUUCGAUUCAAACAGACUGCAGCCCUACAGUUUAAUCCCUCUCUGCUCUUCACAGGGGCACGGGGAGAUGAAGGGUCUCCAUCAGGGUCAAGGUGUGACCCCAUGAACUCAUCCCAGGGUCACUUCUGUCUCCUGUACACUGAGCAGGGACCAGCUCUCGCAGCACUGCGUCCCUGCCUGGGUGUGAUUCUUGGCAGCUCGUGGAUUUGCUUUUCAUCUCCCCCAAAGCAGCAGGAGAACAACGUGCAAGAAACAACCACCACCUGGUGAGAGAAACAAUCAGCCUGAGGAGAAUAGAAAUGAAGACUCCUUGGGAGACCACAUUGUUCAAGCUGGUCCUACAACCAGCUGUAUCCAUUCCUUAUUCAUAAACUGGAGCCUGAGCUGGAAUCAGUCACUCAGGCGUUCAAAGCUACAAUUACAAAACCAGAAUGGUAAUUGCUACCCAAGCAUUACACGGUCAGGGGAGGUGGUCUGGGCAGUGCUGAGUUGGGGAAUGAAAAGGGAAAUGCAGGAAUGGAGGAAAAGCUGGUUGCAUGGAAGGUGCCCUUCCUUCCUGACACUCCACCAGGAACAUCCAUUCCAUUCCUAUGCAAGGUUAUAAAUACACCAUUAGUAUUUCCUUAAUCCUUUUCCCAAGCUGCCCACAAAAACAGUCAGGGACCUGUUACAAAAGAGAAGGAAAAACUAAGAUGGGAAGGAGUGUGGCUGUCCCAGGGUCCCAGCCAGUGCUGGCUGAGGUCCCUUCCCAAGGCAGUGUUCUUUAUUGCUCUUGCUGCCAGCUUCUCAGCUCCACACCAAAUACCAAAGGCCCAGACCUUCCUUCCAACAAGAAAAGCCACUGUUUCUUGCCUGACUAAGGUUCAGCCCAGCCAUGCUGGAAUAAGCUUUUGAAGGAAUGAAGGCAAGGCCACAGACAAGCCUGACAGUGACCUAGGUUUUCUACACACAAGCCCAUCAGGUACCCCUACCUGAUGUCCAGGGUCUCCAGUGUUUCAUUUACCCAGGUAAAUUAAAUACUGCCAGGGAGCCAGGCCAGCAUUGUCAUAGUUAAGAGGGUCUCUGGUGUGUUUUUGGACUCAGACCCUGACGAGGAGUUCCUUUGAGGGCAGUUCAGUUGUUACACAGGCUGGGGACUUUUCUCAGCUGACAGCUUGACCAUCAGUCUUGGAGAUGAUGGGAGUUUAUCCAUGUGGACAUGGGCUGAUCCACAGCACUUGACCUUGGUACCAAUGAGUAUUCCUACAAACAUUAAAUUUUCGUGUAUAGAUGUAGCCCAAGUGGCUACCUCUACUUACACAAUUAUGUCUACCUGAAGAGCUCACGAGUCUUUAUAUUCACAAUCUGUCUUAUAAAUACUGUAUCCACAAGCCAUUACUGUACAAAGGAAAAAACUAUGCAGAAGAUUUGGAGGAAAAAGCUAAAGAGAAGAUUCAGAUCUGAGUUCACUUGCUAUUUCCACACUGCUAAUUCAUCAAGACCCAGGACAACCUUUAACUGUCCCUGUGCCUUUGACUCUUAUAAAAACUGUCAGCCAAGACUGAAUCUGCAUGCAGGGUGAGGCCCUACAGAAAGGACAGAGGCAGAAUUUAACACCUCCUUGUUCCAGGUAUGAUGUGCUGGUUAGCAAACCAGCAGCUGCCCUACCAACAAUCAUUUAAUUUAAUUUAAUUUAAUUUCAUACAGGACCCAGUCAUACUAAGUCAUUUUGAGCUGAACUUUUCUUCUGGAUACAGAUGAAGGAGCCCUAGAUGGCAUAUUUGGACUUACUAACCUAGUGAGAUCAAUGUGUGAACCACAAAAAUAGGCAAAGCUCUCUGUACACUGCUGAAGCAACUCACACACAGUGCUGUGCUCUUCAAGGAUUUCUUCAGUAUCAGAAAGUCCCAUCUUAUUUAUUUUUUUCUAUUAAAUUCUGAUGAUCUUCUCAUAAGACGUGCUCAGGUGCUAAAAUAGGUACCUGGGGUUUCUCUGCAGGCUACUUAAGACACUCCUGUAGACUCACAGAAUCAUUUAGGUUGGAAAAGGUCUAUGGACCUCAUGCUGGUCAAUGUGGAAGAAAGUUAGAAUGCCCCCCUCUUUUCUGAGGCAGCAGCUGAAGGUUUGGAUAGCGCCAUUUAUUCACAUGAAAGAAUCUGAUAUUGUCUCAGGUGCCUGAACCUGUGCAUAAGUGUUCUGGUGUGUAAGGGCAGACAAGCAGGCAAGGCAAAGCAAUCAUGUUGCCUGUAUUAAAUAUAAAUCAUAGAAUCAUAAAAAAGUCUGGGUUGGAAGGGACCUUAAAUACCAUCUUGUUCUGCCCCCUGCUACUGUCAUGGGCAGAGACACUUUCCACUAGAUCAGGUUGCUCAGGGCUCCAUCCAACCUGACCUUGUUCACUUCCAGGGACAGGACAUCCACAGCUUCUCUUGGCAACCUGUGGCUGUACCUCACCACCCUCACAAUAAAGAAUUUUUUCCUAUCA
rnacentral:lncRNA from 1 species